CUGCUGCCCAGUUAGGGUUAAGUUUUUACAGUCUGGCCCUCCAAUGGUCUGAGGGACAGUGAACUGGCCUCCUGUGUAAAAAGUUUUGGGACCCCUGCCUACAGGGAGGAAAAGGAGAAUGCAAGUCAACCCAACCUGAAGAGCAAGCUGUUCCACUAGUCAUCUUCUCCACUCCCCUUCUUCCUAUGGAUUCACAAACAUUAUCUCCUUGCAUGGAAUAUACUCCCUCCACAUCACUGCGCCACUCAAGGACCACUUCCUUCUUGAAGCCUUCUGAGAUCAACCAUCCCUCAAUGGCUCUGUUUCAUCAGAAGAGACCUCUCCAUUUUCGAAUUAUUAUGUCAUUUUAUCUAAGCUUCUGCUUUGUCCCUCCUCCAGCUGAUUUUUUUCUUUUGAAAUAAAUGGUAGGGAUUUGGGGA